rnacentral:rRNA from 1 species
AGUGAACGCUGGCGGUAGGCCUAACACAUGCAAGUCGAACGGCAGCACAGUAAGAGCUUGCUCUUACGGGUGGCGAGUGGCGGGCGGGUGAGGAAUACAUCGGAAUCUACUUUUUCGUGGGGGAUAACGUAGGGAAACUUACGCUAAUACCGCAUACGACCUACGGGUGAAAGCAGGGGAUCUUCGGACCUUGCGCGAUUGAAUGAGCCGAUGUCGGAUUAGCUAGUUGGCGGGGUAAAGGCCCACCAAGGCGACGAUCCGUAGCUGGUCUGAGAGGAUGAUCAGCCACACUGGAACGGAGACACGGUCCAGACUCCUACGGGAGGCAGCAGUGGGGUAUAUUGGACAAUGGGCGCAAGCCUGAUCCAGCCAUACCGCGUGGGUGAAGAAGGCCUUCGGGUUGUAAAGCCCUUUUGUUGGGAAAGAAAAGCAGCAGGUUAAUACCCCGCUGUUCUGACGGUACCCAAAGAAUAAGCACCGGCUAACUUCGUG